CACAUACACACCAGACUUUAUUAAUAUAUUUUAUGAAAAUAUAUGUUUAUGAAAACAGCACAGAGCCUGAAUUCUAACCCUAACCCUGUCAAGAGUGCAUCUCCAUUUAUAGAGGAGAAAUAAGACUACAGCAUCAAGACACUUGGCUUUGUUUAGUCCACUUUCUCACUAUGCAUUAAGAUACCAUGGAUGUUCAUUAUAUAGGCAUUUUCCUGUAUUUGAAUGUAUGUAUGUAUGCAUUUAUGUAUGUAGGACAGGAACAGACUGUAAAACACGGUUAAAACAGCAGAAAAAUAAUUAAUGUUCCCCUGCCCCACUCCCCAGGACUUGUACAAUACAAGACCAGAACCAGAAACCAGGCAGGAAAAAUCACUGACCCUUCGUACCCUGGACACAACCUCUCUCAGCUCCUCCCUUCCGGCAGGCGCUAAAGAACUUUGUUUACCAAAACUGCCAGGCAGAGUUUCUUUCCCAAGGCAAUCACCCUGAUUAACAACUAACCAUAAUUAUAUUCCCUGCUUCAUAUCUAUAAGUACUGCAUAAUCAGAACUUUAAGUCUGUUUUGUCUUGUCAUUCUGUUUGUGUCUUGUAUAGUCUAAGCUAAAUGUACAGUACUAUUUAUGUCUGUACUUGAGAGUCACCAACAGCUGGAACUAAAUGCCUUGUGUGUAUCAACACACAUGGCCAAUAAACCUGAUUCUUACGUAUGUAUCUAGAGCACCAUAAAAACCACAACAGAUUCCUUGUGUGUCUGAGCACACUUGGCGAACAAAGCUGAAUCUGAUACAAAUUCCGUGUGCUUUUGUAAGGGCUAGAAAGAGACAUCGGUUUUUAAACCUCCACAAAAUAUUUAAAGCACAAUAGACUUUCUCUGCCAUGUUAAUCAGCCAUGAACAAAUAAAUUCAGUGUUAAUGGCUGUUUGGCUCCAGCAUCCCUCGAGUAUGCAAAGGAGGAAGGAAUAAUAUAAAAAAUAAAAUAAAAAAGGAACUUGCAAGAUGUUUGUGUGACUCAAACUCUGUGCUGGAAGAGAAAUUUCACAAUUCUGUGCAGUCAGCAAGUUUCACAGUGUUGGGACCCUUUAGCUGGAAAGACAAAAUGACAUUUUGCAGAAAGGAAAGCUCUGCUGCUGGCAUUACAAGAAAUAUAAGACAAGGGCUGGAUUUAAGUGAAAGAACAUCUGACACACGGCUUCACAAUGUCCCAACAGGCUGUAUGUAAAAAAAAUCAUAAGUCUGUGGUCAAUCAUUCUUCUUCCAUAAGUCAAAGAUAAGCCUUCACAAAAAGAAAGACAAACACCUUAAGUUAAGCAUUACAUUGUGAUCUUUUUUGUCACUCACACAGCUGUAUAAAGGGCUUUAAAAUUCACACUGUUGAGACCAUAUAUAACAAGAAUAAACUACUACAUCCGACAUCUUGCGGAUCUACCAUUUCCCCCAAAGGUCAUGUGACAUCUUAAACAUGUUAGGCUUGUUCAAGCAGUCAGACACUUUGCAAGUCAAUGAGUUCAAAUGUCAUAUCCAGAACACCUUAAGUGCUGGAAACACAUGACUACAAGGAAAUGGCUGCAAAGCUUUUGAUACUUCUGUUUUCCAAGCAAAACACAAAAAAAAAUCCCCCACACAAAAUGUGUAAAAAAAAAGGCAUCUAAUGACAAGUUAUCUCUGAUUUGCUUUCGUUUCAGAGUUGGAGCUGGGGGAAAAAACCUAACCGCUCUAUUUGCUGUUAAAUCUGGGGAAUCUGACUAGUGUAUGGUGGGAGAUUUAACUUUAUAACUUCAUGAAGGCCAAGCAGCUGACAUGCGUAGGACUACAACAGGAUGGCCACAUGCUAGCAAGGCCAAGGUCAAGGUUCACCCUUGAGGAUACUGAACUUUAUUCAUGUGAAAUAUGUUCUGCAUUCGACUAAAGGGGAAACAUUGUCCAUCCUUUAACAUCUUUCCAUUCCAACUCAUAUAUACCUACUCAGGAACAUGGGCAAGUGGGGUCAAAUCGACAUGGCUAUGCACAGAAUUGAAAAAGGGCAUCAACCUUCAUGGUGAAGCCAUCCACACCAGGCAUUGUGCUUAUGGACUGCAGCUCGGGGACAUCUGAUGCAAAGCUGGCUUCAAAUGGAACAUCGUGGAAGUAGUGGUCGCAUACAUCAGGCUGCUUUCGAU